rnacentral:rRNA from 1 species
GUGCCAGCAGCCGCGGUAAUACGUAGGGUGCGAGCGUUAUCCGGAAUUAUUGGGCGUAAAGAGCUCGUAGGCGGUUUGUCGCGUCUGUCGUGAAAGUCCGGGGCUUAACCCCGGAUCUGCGGUGGGUACGGGCAGACUAGAGUGCAGUAGGGGAGACUGGAAUUCCUGGUGUAGCGGUGGAAUGCGCAGAUAUCAGGAGGAACACCGAUGGCGAAGGCAGGUCUCUGGGCUGUAACUGACGCUGAGGAGCGAAAGCAUGGGGAGCGAACAGGAUUAGAUACCCUGGUAGUCCAUGCCGUAAACGUUGGGCACUAGGUGUGGGGACCAUUCCACGGUUUCCGCGCCGCAGCUAACGCAUUAAGUGCCCCGCCUGGGGAGUACGGCCGCAAGGCUAAAACUCAAAGGAAUUGACGGGGGCCCGCACAAGCGGCGGAGCAUGCGGAUUAAUUCGAUGCAACGCGAAGAACCUUACCAAGGCUUGACAUGUUCUCGAUCGCCGUAGAGAUACGGUUUCCCCUUUGGGGCGGGUUCACAGGUGGUGCAUGGUUGUCGUCAGCUCGUGUCGUGAGAUGUUGGGUUAAGUCCCGCAACGAGCGCAACCCUCGUUCCAUGUUGCCAGCACGUAAUGGUGGGGACUCAUGGGAGACUGCCGGGGUCAACUCGGAGGAAGGUGAGGACGACGUCAAAUCAUCAUGCCCCUUAUGUCUUGGGCUUCACGCAUGCUACAAUGGCCGGUACAAUGGGUUGCGAUACUGUGAGGUGGAGCUAAUCCCAAAAAGCCGGUCUCAGUUCGGAUUGGGGUCUGCAACUCGACCCCAUGAAGUCGGAGUCGCUAGUAAUCGCAGAUCAGCAACGCUGCGGUGAAUACGUUCCCGGGCCUUGUACACACCGCCCGUG